ensembl:snoRNA
UGGCCCAUCCUACCUGGCAGCCAGCCUGUGGUCUGCCAGGUUUCACGUGUGGACCAGAAUUCUCGAGAAGCCUCACCCAGAGGGCUGAGAAGGCUUCAGUGGCUUUGUGCCAGGCUGCUGCUGGACACUC